ACUAGAAUUUUCAGCUGCAUAUUUUAUGGUCCGUGCUAUCCGGAAUACUUGGAACGUCCCGUUGUAUUGGGUUUGGAGCUCUGCAACCAGAGCCCGGCGGGCCCCGACAUUAUACAUUGCUUUAGGGCCGGAUAUGAACAUUACACGUCGAACCCUCAGCUCUGCAUGCCGCUUGAUUAACAUCAACUGUAUCAGAAACAUCUCCUACUCACAGUGUGCUAUGACAUCAUCAAGGCAUACAAACUCCAAAAGGAUUGAGGGACUGGACAAGAAUGUUUGGGUGGCCUUCACCUCGGUGGCAGCAGACCCCACCAUAGUGAACCUGGGCCAGGGCUACCCUGACAUUCCUCCCCCAGCCUACGUCAAGGAGGCCCUGGCUAACGCUGCUGCAGUGGACAAGCUCAACCAGUACACAAGAGGCUUUGGCCACCCGUCUCUGGUGAAGGCUCUUUCUCAGGUGUAUGGGAAAGUGUAUGGACACCAGAUUGAUCCUUUCAAGGAGAUACUGGUCACAGUAGGUGGCUAUGGAUCCUUGUUCAGUACCAUGCAGGCACUGGUGGAAGUGGGAGAUGAGGUUAUAAUUAUCGAACCCUUCUUUGAUUGCUAUGUACCCAUGGUUCGAAUGGCAGGGGCAACACCUGUCUUGAUACCAUUACGACUUAGAUCCAAUAAGGAGACCAGUAGUGUUUCCAGUGCUGACUGGGUCCUGGAUCCAGAGGAACUAGCCAGUAAAUUCACCUCAAAGACCAAGGCCAUCAUUAUUAACACUCCUAACAACCCCAUUGGGAAGAUAUUCACCAAGGGUGAGCUUCAGACUAUCUCCGACCUCUGCAUCAAACACGAUACUCUGUGCAUCAGUGAUGAGGUGUAUGAAUGGCUCAUCUACAAGGGACACCAACACAUCAAAAUAGCCACUCUUCCUGGCAUGUGGGACAGAACGAUCACCAUCAGCAGUGCAGGGAAGACCUUUAGUGUGACGGGCUGGAAGCUUGGCUGGUCUAUAGGGCCAGAACACUUGAUAAAGCACCUCCAGACUGUUAUGCAGAACACCUUGUACACCUGUCCAACACCGCUACAGGAGGCUGUGGCCCAGGGCCUGCUGAGGGACUAUGAGCUGAUGGGUCAACCUGAGUGUUACUUCUCCUCGCUGGCCGUGGAGCUGGAGGGGAAGAGGGACCGCAUGGCUGCUAUCCUACAGGACGUUGGCAUGUCUCCUAUCAUACCUGAGGGAGGGUACUUCAUGUGCGUGGACGUCACACCCCUUAGUCAGGACUUGUCUCAUAUGGGGGAUGAUGAGCCUUACGACUACAAGUUUGUCAAGUGGAUGAUUAAGGAGAAGAAACUGGCAGCCAUUCCGGUCACAGCGUUCUGUGGUGAUGCUUCCAAGAAGCAGUUUGAGAAAUACAUCCGUCUAUGCUUCAUCAAGCAAGACAGCACUCUGGAUGCAGCCGAGGCUAUUCUCAAGAACUGGAACAAGUAAAAUAAGUCCUGUUGGAUGUAAGGGUUUGUCCCAAGACCCUCUGUUUUUACACCCCUAUAACACGUUACUUUGUAGGACAGGUAUGGAACUGUUUGUAGGACAGGUAUGGAACUGUUUGUAGGACAGGUAUGGAACUGUUUGUAGUACAGGUAUGGAACAGUUUGUAGGACAGGUAUGGACUGUUUGUAGGACAGGUAUGGAACAGUUUGUAGGACAGGUAUGGAACUGUUUGUAGUACAGGUAUGGAACAGUUUGUAGGACAGGUAUGGACUGUUUGUAGGACAGGUAUGGAACUGUUUGUAGUACAGGUAUGGAAUGGUUUGUAGGACAGGUAUGGGACUGUUUGUAGGACAGGUAUGGAACUGUUUGUAGUACAGGUAUGGAAUGGUUUGUAGGACACGUAUGGAACUGUUUGUAGUACAGGUAUGGAACUGUUUGUAGUACAGGUAUGGAACUGUUUGUAGGACAGGUAUGGGACUGUUUGUAGGACAGCUAUGGAACUGUUUGUAGGACAGGUAUGGAACAGUUUGUAGUACAGGUAUGGAACUGUUUGUAGGACAGGUAUGGAACUGUUUGUAGUACAGGUAUGGGACUGUUUGUAGUACAGGUAUGGGACUGUUUGUAGGACAGGUAUGGAACUGUUUGUAGUACAGGUAUGGAACUGUUUGUAGGACAGGUAUGGAACUGUUUGUAGGACAGGUAUGGGACUGUUUGUAGGACAGGUAUGGGACUGUUUGUAGGACAGGUAUGGAACUGUUUGUAGUACAGGUAUGGAACUGUUUGUAGGACAGGUAUGGAACUGUUUGUAGGACAGGUAUGGGACUGUUUGUGGGACAGGUAUGGGACUGUUUGUGGGACAGGUAUGGGACUGUUUGUAGGACAGGUAUGGACUGUUUGUAGGACAGGUAUGGAACUGUUUGUAGGACAGGUAUGGGACUGUUUGUAGGACAGGUAUGGAACAGUUUGUAGGACAGGUAUGGACUGUUUGUAGGACAGGUAUGGGACUGUUUGUAGGACAGGUAUGGGACUGUUUGUAGGACAGGUAUGGGACUGUUUGUAGGACAGGUAUGGGACUGUUUGUAGGACAGGUAUGGGACUGUUUGUAGGACAGGUAUGGACUGUUUGUAGGACAGGUAUGGAACUGUUUGUAGGACAGGUAUGGAACAGUUUGUAGGGCAGGUAUGGACUGUUUGUAGGACAGGUAUGGAACUGUUUGUAGGACAGGUAUGGGACUGUUUGUAGGACAGGUAUGGAACAGUUUGUAGGACAGGUAUGGACUGUUUGUAGGACAGGUAUGGGACUGUUUGUAGGACAGGUAUGGGACUGUUUGUAGGACAGCUAUGGGACUGUUUGUAGGACAGGUAUGGGACUGUUUGUAGGACAGGUAUGGAACUGUUUGUAGGACAGGUAUGGGACUGUUUGUAGGACAGGUAUGGAACUGUUUGUAGUACAGGUAUGGAACUGUUUGUAGGACAGGUAUGGGACUGUUUGUAGGACAGCUAUGGAACUGUUUGUAGGACAGGUAUGGAACAGUUUGUAGUACAGGUAUGGAACUGUUUGUAGGACAGGUAUGGAACUGUUUGUAGUACAGGUAUGGGACUGUUUGUAGUACAGGUAUGGGACUGUUUGUAGGACAGGUAUGGAACUGUUUGUAGUACAGGUAUGGAACUGUUUGUAGGACAGGUAUGGAACUGUUUGUAGGACAGGUAUGGGACUGUUUGUAGGACAGGUAUGGGACUGUUUGUAGGACAGGUAUGGAACUGUUUGUAGUACAGGUAUGGAACUGUUUGUAGGACAGGUAUGGAACUGUUUGUAGGACAGGUAUGGGACUGUUUGUGGGACAGGUAUGGGACUGUUUGUAGGACAGGUAUGGAACAGUUUGUAGGACAGGUAUGGACUGUUUGUAGGACAGGUAUGGAACUGUUUGUAGGACAGGUAUGGAACUGUUUGUAGGACAGGUAUGGAACAGUUUGUAGGACAGGUAUGGACUGUUUGUAGGACAGGUAUGGGACUGUUUGUAGGACAGGUAUGGGACUGUUUGUAGGACAGGUAUGGGACUGUUUGUAGGACAGGUAUGGGACUGUUUGUAGGACAGGUAUGGGACUGUUUGUAGGACAGGUAUGGACUGUUUGUAGGACAGGUAUGGAACUGUUUGUAGGACAGGUAUGGAACAGUUUGUAGGGCAGGUAUGGACUGUUUGUAGGACAGGUAUGGAACUGUUUGUAGGACAGGUAUGGGACUGUUUGUAGGACAGGUAUGGAACAGUUUGUAGGACAGGUAUGGACUGUUUGUAGGACAGGUAUGGAACUGUUUGUAGGACAGGUAUGGAACAGUUUGUAGGACAGGUAUGGAACUGUUUGCCCUGUUUAUAUUUGUAGACAUUUUCGUGUUUUUAUGUUCUUUUAUUAAUUCAUUUUUUAUUGCCUUUUUUGUUUUAGUUUUUAUCUCAUUUGAUUGGAUUUUAUAUGACACAUGGAAUGGAUUAACUUCCAGGUUUGUAUUUCCUCUUUGUGACAUAAGCGCUCGCUGAGUGGCACUCGUCAUCCUGUCAACAUCGUUUUUCUGUACCCUUCAUAUGAUGGGAUGGGACAGUUUUAAUCCUGUGCAACCCUCCUGGUUUGGUGUUGUAUUUCGUCUGUGAAUAAAAUAUAACUUUUUAAAAUA